ACGGGGCCCGCACAAGCGGUGGAGCAUGUGGUUUAAUUCGACGCAACGCGAAGAACCUUACCUGGGUUUGACAUCCCGAUCGCACCUUAUGGAAACAUAGGGGUCAGUUCGGCUGGAUCGGUGACAGGUGCUGCAUGGCUGUCGUCAGCUCGUGUCGUGAGAUGUUGGGUUAAGUCCCGCAACGAGCGCAACCCUUGUCCUUAGUUGCCAGCAUUCAGUUGGGCACUCUAAGGAGACUGCCGGUGUCAAACCGGAGGAAGGUGGGGAUGACGUCAAGUCCUCAUGGCCCUUAUGUCCAGGGCUACACACGUGCUACAAUGGCCGGUACAAAGGGGCGCAAGACCGCGAGGUGGAGCAAAUCCCAAAAAACCGGUCUCAGUUCGGAUUGGAGUCUGCAACUCGACUCCAUGAAGUUGGAAUCGCUAGUAAUCGCGUAUCAGCAUGACGCGGUGAAUACGUUCCCGGGCCUU
rnacentral:rRNA from 1 species